rnacentral:pre_miRNA from 1 species
AAUAAGUGCAGCCGUGAGUAUCCGUGUUCAACGUUUGAUUGUUCGUCUUAUUUAAAAAAAAUAUAAUUUUUUAAAAAAUUAGUCACACAUAAAGUACUAUUCAUGUUUUAUCAUUUAAUAACAUAAAAAUACUAAUAAAAAAAUUCAAAUAAGACAAACAGUCAAACGUUGGACAUAAACAGCACAAAACUGUACUUAUU